rnacentral:rRNA from 1 species
AUUGAACGCUGGCGGCAGGCUUAACACAUGCAAGUCGAGCGGAGCGAGGGUGCUUGCACCUUAGCUUAGCGGCGGACGGGUGAGUAAUGCUUAGGAAUCUGCCUAUUAGUGGGGGACAACAUUCCGAAAGGAAUGCUAAUACCGCAUACGCCCUACGGGGGAAAGCAGGGGAUCUUCGGACCCUGCGCUAAUAGAUGAGCCUAAGUGGGAUUAGCUAGUUGGUGGGGUAAAGGCCUACCAAGGCGACGAUCUGUAGCGGGUCUGAGAGGAUGAUCCGCCACACUGGGACUGAGACACGGCCCAGACUCCUACGGGAGGCAGCAGUGGGGAAUAUUGGACAAUGGGCGGAAGCCUGAUCCAGCCAUGCCGCGUGUGUGAAGAAGGCCUUUUGGUUGUAAAGCACUUUAAGCGAGGAGGAGGCUACUUAGAUUAAUACUCUGGGAUAGUGGACGUUACUCGCAGAAUAAGCACCGGCUAACUCUGUGCCAGCAGCCGCCGCGGUAAAAC